rnacentral:lncRNA from 1 species
CAGCAGUGUCCUUAGUUGGUUCUGAAGGGCAUUUUGCACAGUGUUUAGCAAUGAUUUGGGCCAUAUUACUUCUCAUUCUCCAAGUCUGGUCCUCCAAGUUUUUAGGCAAUUUUGUAUUUAUUUUCUGCUAUAAUCAGCCCAAACCCAUUUCUUUUGCUCUGGAACUUAGAAGUGAUCUAGUCAACUUACAUGGUAAGCAAUCAUCUAUAGCAAAAAUUUAGAGUAAAAUUAGACCAAGAUUGAUUGAACAUUCAUGUUUCAAACUGCAGAAAAUCUUGGAGUUUUUUUAGACAAUAAUAUUAAUGUUACUACUGCUAAUAAAAGAUAGCUUUAUUGAGAAACUACUGUAUGUCAUGAUCUGUAUUAAGCCUUUAUAUGAAAAAAAAAAGCCUUUAUAUGCAUUAUUUCCUGUAAUUCAAGGAAGAUAUAGGAACUCAAAUCUGAUGAAAAUAAGCCAGAUGAAAAAACAUGGCCUAUAAUCUAGUGGAGGAGGAGGAGGAUGAUGACGAUGACAAUGAUGAAGAUUAUGAUGACAAUGAUGUUGGUAAUGAUGAUAAUGAUGGCAAUGACAAUGAUGAUGACAAUGACAAUAAUGAUGAUUAUGAUGAUGACAGUGAUGUUGACAAUGAUGAUGAUGACAACAUCUGGAAUGUGGAGAAUCACAGUUAGGGUCAACCGCCUAUAUAACAGAGCUUGUUUGAAGUGUCUCAAGUCCCAGGCUCUAAUGGACCCCAACUCUGAUAAAUCACCUUCAUGCUCAGAAGGAAAGAUAAGACUUAUGCAACUAUUGCUUAUAGUGAUAACCUCUACAUCUCCUGGAAUUAGCCUCAACUUAGUGCAGGAAGAAAACUCUGCUUACAGAUCCAAAUGGCUUUCACAUAUUGCACCCUUGGAAUGAGGCUAUUUCUUGAACUCUGUUAGUGCGACUAAGUGCCACGCACCAUAGAAGUACAAGACUACAAUAUUACUGUGGUCUCUGAUAAAAAAAAAUACUAUCUCUUUUAAAUAUAUUAUGUAUGAAAAUUUGUCAGUAUUUGGCUCUAUUGUGUCAUGUUAUGGCUGAGGAAGUUUUUUCAUAGCAUGUUUACAAAAUGCAUCUGUUUAUUUAUGUUUAUAUUGUACUUUAAAGGUUUUUAUCAAUGUGUAAUUUAUUAGCUCUAUGGUGUAAAGUGAAAAGAUCUAUUUUAAAAGUAACCGAUGCUUAUUUUCCAUCUGCAUAUCUGGUGAAGUGUCCAUUCAGGUCUUCUGCCCAUUUUUAAAUUGGGUUCUUUCUUUUUUCAUUGUUAAGUUUUCUUUGUAUAUUUUGGAGACAAGUCCUUUUCAGACCUGUGUUUUGGAAAUACAUUCUCCCCAGUCUGUGGCUGGUUUUCUGACCACGUCUUUACAGAGCACAAGUUUUUAAUUUAAUGUAGUCUGACAUCAAUUUUUUCCCUGGAUUAUGGUUUUGGUGCUGUAUCUAAACUGCUUCUAAAAAUAGUCUGAUAGUGAAAGAAAAUCAUUAGGCUGGUGACAAAUAUUAAGUAACUCCUUUCGUUUUAUUGAAAUAACACUUGUCAUAGGUGGAAAAUGAAAAUUUCGUCCUAGACCUUCUAUUCUUUGUCUUUAUAUGUCCAUUUUGCCCCAUUGGUAUUCUCUUCAGAAAAUUUUAAUUUAAACCUUUCAAGAGUACAUAAAUCAAUCGGAGAAGGACAAACAUUAUAUGGACUCAUUCAUUUGGGGAAUAUAAAUAAUAGUGAACGGGAAUAGAAGGGAAGGGAGAAG